ensembl:lncRNA LINC00687 long intergenic non-protein coding RNA 687
CGCCUGUAGCCCCAGCUACUCGGGAGGCUGAGCCAGGAGAAUGGCGUGAACCCGGGAGGCAGAGCUUGCAGUGAGCCGAGAUCGCUCCACGGCACUCCAGCUUGGGCAACAGAGCGAGACUCCAUCUUAAAAAAAAAAAAAAAAAGAAACAUCAGUGGAAGAGGAAGAAACUGCAGGUACAGGAAUAAACUUACGUGAUCCUCAUUUCAAGGAGAAGAAGGAGAAGUUGAAGAAGGAGGAGAAGGAGAAGGAUGAGAAGAAAAACAAGAAGAGGAAGGAGAAGGAGGAGGAAAAUGAGAAGGAGAAGAAGAGAAGGAACAGCAGCAGUUGCAGGAGGAGGAGAAAGAGGAGGAGGAGGAGGAGGGAGUGUGCAGAAGCUGGGGGGGAUUCCAAUGUUGGAAGCAUUUUUAGCGUACAACAACAUCCAAGUGGAUUACUAUGAAUGCCUAGACCUCUAUGGCAAACAGUCUCUUCGUGGCCUGUGCUGAGGACUACAUCAGUCUCCUGCAAUUAUCAUCUACACUGAAAAACAAAGAGGACAGAGGCGAAGCUAGUGGCCCUCACCAUCCCCUGCAAGCUGAUUGCUUCUUACUGCAAGCACUUGAGCAUCUUCCUGAGAGCUUUCUUGGGCAAUGGGAACCAGGCUUGGCCCAAUCACAGGCAGGUGAAGUAUGAGGAAAUGGAGAAGGCAUUGUCCAAGGAGCAGUCUUCAACCUUCACCCCGCAAGUGAGACAACUCUGAAUAAGAUGUGUUCUACACUCUCUUCCAAAGGUCCCCAGUUGGAUGGAGCUCUAGCUGCUCAUGUGAUAAGCUGCCUAUUAAUACACAAAAGAUUGCCUUUCCUCCUUGCUCUGUCUUCCUGCUGCUCUCCUACUAAUGUUUCCUGGGAUUGCCUCCAAAUAAACCACUUGAACUCA